CUGCAACCUGCUCAGAACUUAUUAAAAACAUCACAGCUGUUAACAGAGAAACAAUGCUCUACUAAUGAGCCAAUCCAUCAAUUUGUGUCGCUCUGCUCCUCUUCAGCGAGAGAUGGAGCCAUAAAAUGGAGAAAAUAAGAUUUCAGCAGUGUGCAGGAGGAGACAGCCAGGCAGAUCAAAGUGUCAUUAAAGCACACAUACAAUCCAUCAAAAAGACAUCCACCUGCACACAGCCACCAACCCCAGCACACGGCCACUGCUGCUCUUUAGAAAACACCCACAGGUCUGUAAUCAGAGUGUGUCUGAGUGUGGGGGAGUGUAUGAGAGCAUGUCUGAGUGCUUGGGAGUGUUUAGGAGUGUCUGAGUGUAUGGGAGUGUGUGUGUGUGUGUGUGUGUGUGUGUGUGUGUGUGUAUAUGUUGGAGCGGGAGUGUGUUCAAGUGUGUUGGAGUGCUUGGGAGUGUGUGAGAUUGUGUCUGAGUGUGUUGGAGUGUGUGAGAGUGCAUGGAAGUGUUUGGGAGUGUGUGAGAGUGUGUGAGAGUGUGUGAGAGUGUGGGAGUGUGUCUGAGUGUGUGGGAGUGUAUGGGAGUGUGUGGGAGUGUAUGGGAGUGUGUGGGAGUGUAUGGGAGUGUGUGGGAGUGUGUGGGAGUGUAUGGGAGUGUGUGGGAGUGUUUGGGAGUGUGUGGGAGUGUGUGGGAGUGUGUUUGGGAGGGACAGAGAGAGACACUGAGAGUGACAGAGAGAGACACUGAAAGGGACAGAGAGAGACACUUGAAGACACUGAGAGGGACAGAGAGAGACACUGAAAGGGACAGAGAGAGACACAGAGAAAGACACUGAGAGGGACAGAGAGAGACACUGAAAGGGACAGCGAGAGACACUUGAGUGACAGAGAGAGACACUUAAAGGACAGAGAGAGAUACUGAGAGAGACACUGAGAGGGACAGAGAGAGACACUGAAAGGACAGAGAGAGACAUUGAGUGACAGAGAGAGACACUUAAAGGGACAGAGAGAGACACUGAGAGGGACAGAGAGAGAUACUGAGAGAGACACUGAGUGACAGAGAGAGACACUGAGUAACAGAGAGAGACACUGAAAGGGACAGAGAGAGACACUGAAUGACAGAGAGAGACACUGAGUAACAGAGAGAGACACUGAAAGGGACAGAGAAAGACACUGAUUGAAAGAAAGAGGCACUGAGGUACAGCGAGACACUGAAAGGGACUGAGAGAGACACUGCUUGACAGAGAGAGACACUGAAAGGGACUGAGGGACAGAGGGAGACACUGAAAGGGACAGAGAGAGACACAGAGAAAGACACUUAAAGGGACAGAGAGAGACACUGAAAGGGACAGCGAGAGACACUUGAGUGACAGAGAGAGACACUUAAAGGGACAGAGAGAGAUACUGAGAGAGACACUGAGAGGGACAGAGAGAGACACUGAAAGGGACAGAGAGAGACAUUGAGUGACAGAGAGAGACACUUAAAGGGACAGAGAGAGACACUGAGAGGGACAGAGAGAGAUACUGAGAGAGACACUGAGUGACAGAGAGAGACACUGAGUAACAGAGAGAGACACUGAAAGGGACAGAGAAAGACACUGAUUGAAAGAAAGAGGCACUGAGGUACAGCGAGACACUGAAAGGGACUGAGAGAGACACUGCUUGACAGAGAGAGACACUGAAGGGACUGAGGACAGAGGGAGACACUGAAAGGGAC
ensembl:lncRNA